rnacentral:rRNA from 1 species
AGCGUACACGGUGGAUGCCCUGGCAGUCAGAGGCGAUGAAGGGCGUGCUAAUCUGCGAUAAGCGCCGGUAAGGUGAUAUGAACCGUUAUAACCGGCGAUACCCGAAUGGGGAAACCCAGUGUGAUUCGUCACACUAUCAUUAACUGAAUCCAUAGGUUAAUGAGGCGAACCGGGGGAACUGAAACAUCUAAGUACCCCGAGGAAAAGAAAUCAACCGAGAUUCCCCCAGUAGCGGCGAGCGAACGGGGAGGAGCCCAGAGCCUGAAUCAGCAUGUGUGUUAGUGGAAGCGUCUGGAAAGGUGCGCGAUACAGGGUGACAGCCCCGUACACAAAAGCGCAUGUGCUGUGAGCUCGAUGAGUAGGGCGGGACACGUGGUAUCCUGUCUGAAUAUGGGGGGACCAUCCUCCAAGGCUAAAUACUCCUGACUGACCGAUAGUGAACCAGUACCGUGAGGGAAAGGCGAAAAGAACCCCGGCGAGGGGAGUGAAAAAGAACCUGAAACCGUGUACGUACAAGCAGUGGGAGCACAGGUUUACCUGUGUGACUGCGUACCUUUUGUAUAAUGGGUCAGCGACUUAUAUUCUGUAGCAAGGUUAACCGAAUAGGGGAGCCGGAGGGAAACCGAGUCUUAAUUGGGCGUUAAGUUGCAGGGUAUAGACCCGAAACCCGGUGAUCUAGCCAUGGGCAGGUUGAAGGUUGGGUAACACUAACUGGAGGACCGAACCGACUAAUGUUGAAAAAUUAGCGGAUGACCUGUGGCUGGGGGUGAAAGGCCAAUCAAACCGGGAGAUAGCUGGUUCUCCCCGAAAGCUAUUUAGGUAGCGCCUCGUGAAUUCAUCUCCGGGGGUAGAGCACUGUUUCGGCUAGGGGGCCAUCCCGGCUUACCAACCCGAUGCAAACUGCGAAUACCGGAGAAUGUUAUCACGGGAGACACACGGCGGGUGCUAACGUCCGUCGUGAAGAGGGAAACAACCCAGACCGCCAGCUAAGGUCCCAAAGUCAUGGUUAAGUGGGAAACGAUGUGGGAAGGCCCAGACAGCCAGGAUGUUGGCUUAGAAGCAGCCAUCAUUUAAAGAAAGCGUAAUAGCUCACUGGUCGAGUCGGCCUGCGCGGAAGAUGUAACGGGGCUAAACCAUGCACCGAAGCUGCGGCAGCGAACGUAUCACUUAAAGCGAUUCAGCGGGUUACGAUUGACGGAGCGAAGCGACGUCAAAGCGUAUACAAAGUCGAGUCGGUUUAAGGAUACGUUCGUUGGGUAGGGGAGCGUUCUGUAAGCCCGUGAAGGUGGCCUGUGAGGGUUGCUGGAGGUAUCAGAAGUGCGAAUGCUGACAUAAGUAACGAUAAAGCGGGUGAAAAGCCCGCUCGCCGGAAGACCAAGGGUUCCUGUCCAACGUUAAUCGGGGCAGGGUGAGUCGACCCCUAAGGCGAGGCCGAAAGGCGUAGUCGAUGGGAAACGGGUUAAUAUUCCCGUACUUGGUGUUACUGCGAAGGGGGGACGGAGAAGGCUAUGUUGGCCGGGCGACGGUUGUCCCGGUUUAAGCGUGUAGGUGUGUGUUCCAGGUAAAUCCGGUUCACUUUAACACUGAGGCGUGACGACGAGGCACUACGGUGCUGAAGCAACAAAUGCCCUGCUUCCAGGAAAAGCCUCUAAGCAUCAGGUAACAUCAAAUCGUACCCCAAACCGACACAGGUGGUCAGGUAGAGAAUACCAAGGCGCUUGAGAGAACUCGGGUGAAGGAACUAGGCAAAAUGGUGCCGUAACUUCGGGAGAAGGCACGCUGACACGUAGGUGAAGUGAUUUACUCAUGGAGCUGAAGUCAGUCGAAGAUACCAGCUGGCUGCAACUGUUUAUUAAAAACACAGCACUGUGCAAACACGAAAGUGGACGUAUACGGUGUGACGCCUGCCCGGUGCCGGAAGGUUAAUUGAUGGGGUCAGCGCAAGCGAAGCUCCUGAUCGAAGCCCCGGUAAACGGCGGCCGUAACUAUAACGGUCCUAAGGUAGCGAAAUUCCUUGUCGGGUAAGUUCCGACCUGCACGAAUGGCGUAAUGAUGGCCAGGCUGUCUCCACCCGAGACUCAGUGAAAUUGAACUCGCUGUGAAGAUGCAGUGUACCCGCGGCAAGACGGAAAGACCCCGUGAACCUUUACUAUAGCUUGACACUGAACAUUGAGCCUUGAUGUGUAGGAUAGGUGGGAGGCUUUGAAGUGUGGACGCCAGUCUGCAUGGAGCCGACCUUGAAAUACCACCCUUUAAUGUUUGAUGUUCUAACGUGGACCCGUAAUCCGGGUUGCGGACAGUGUCUGGUGGGUAGUUUGACUGGGGCGGUCUCCUCCUAAAGAGUAACGGAGGAGCACGAAGGUUGGCUAAUCCUGGUCGGACAUCAGGAGGUUAGUGCAAUGGCAUAAGCCAGCUUGACUGCGAGCGUGACGGCGCGAGCAGGUGCGAAAGCAGGUCAUAGUGAUCCGGUGGUUCUGAAUGGAAGGGCCAUCGCUCAACGGAUAAAAGGUACUCCGGGGAUAACAGGCUGAUACCGCCCAAGAGUUCAUAUCGACGGCGGUGUUUGGCACCUCGAUGUCGGCUCAUCACAUCCUGGGGCUGAAGUAGGUCCCAAGGGUAUGGCUGUUCGCCAUUUAAAGUGGUACGCGAGCUGGGUUUAGAACGUCGUGAGACAGUUCGGUCCCUAUCUGCCGUGGGCGCUGGAGAACUGAGGGGGGCUGCUCCUAGUACGAGAGGACCGGAGUGGACGCAUCACUGGUGUUCGGGUUGUCAUGCCAAUGGCACUGCCCGGUAGCUAAAUGCGGAAGAGAUAAGUGCUGAAAGCAUCUAAGCACGAAACUUGCCCCGAGAUGAGUUCU